UUUUGUGGGGUGCUCGAGUGGCGAACGGGUGAGUAACACGUGAGUAACCUGCCCUUGACUUUGGGGUAACUUCAGGAAACUGGGGCUAAUACCGGAUAGGAGCUCCUGCUGCAUGGUGGGGGUUGGAAAGUUUCGGCGGUUGGGGAUGGACUCGCGGCUUAUCAGCUUGUUGGUGGGGUAGUGGCUUACCAAGGCUUUGACGGGUAGCCGGCCUGAGAGGGUGACCGGCCACAUUGGGACUGAGAUACGGCCCAG
rnacentral:rRNA from 1 species